ACUAAGCGUACACGGUGGAUGCCCUGGCAGUCAGAGGCGAUGAAGGACGUGCUAAUCUGCGAUAAGCGUCGGUAAGGUGAUAUGAACCGUUAUAACCGGCGAUUUCCGAAUGGGGAAACCCAGUGUGAUUCGUCACACUAUCAUUAACUGAAUCCAUAGGUUAAUGAGGCGAACCGGGGGAACUGAAACAUCUAAGUACCCCGAGGAAAAGAAAUCAACCGAGAUUCCCCCAGUAGCGGCGAGCGAACGGGGAGCAGCCCAGAGCCUGAAUCAGUGUGUGUGUUAGUGGAAGCGUCUGGAAAGGCGCGCGAUACAGGGUGACAGCCCCGUACACAAAAAUGCACAUACUGUGAGCUCGAUGAGUAGGGCGGGACACGUGGUAUCCUGUCUGAAUAUGGGGGGACCAUCCUCCAAGGCUAAAUACUCCUGACUGACCGAUAGUGAACCAGUACCGUGAGGGAAAGGCGAAAAGAACCCCGGCGAGGGGAGUGAAAAAGAACCUGAAACCGUGUACGUACAAGCAGUGGGAGCACGCUUAGGCGUGUGACUGCGUACCUUUUGUAUAAUGGGUCAGCGACUUAUAUUCUGUAGCAAGGUUAACCGAAUAGGGGAGCCGAAGGGAAACCGAGUCUUAACUGGGCGUUAAGUUGCAGGGUAUAGACCCGAAACCCGGUGAUCUAGCCAUGGGCAGGUUGAAGGUUGGGUAACACUAACUGGAGGACCGAACCGACUAAUGUUGAAAAAUUAGCGGAUGACUUGUGGCUGGGGGUGAAAGGCCAAUCAAACCGGGAGAUAGCUGGUUCUCCCCGAAAGCUAUUUAGGUAGCGCCUCGUGAAUUCAUCUCCGGGGGUAGAGCACUGUUUCGGCAAGGGGGUCAUCCCGACUUACCAACCCGAUGCAAACUGCGAAUACCGGAGAAUGUUAUCACGGGAGACACACGGCGGGUGCUAACGUCCGUCGUGAAGAGGGAAACAACCCAGACCGCCAGCUAAGGUCCCAAAGUCAUAGUUAAGUGGGAAACGAUGUGGGAAGGCCCAGACAGCCAGGAUGUUGGCUUAGAAGCAGCCAUCAUUUAAAGAAAGCGUAAUAGCUCACUGGUCGAGUCGGCCUGCGCGGAAGAUGUAACGGGGCUAAACCAUGCACCGAAGCUGCGGCAGCGACGCUUAUGCGUUGUUGGGUAGGGGAGCGUUCUGUAAGCCUGCGAAGGUGUGCUGUGAGGCAUGCUGGAGGUAUCAGAAGUGCGAAUGCUGACAUAAGUAACGAUAAAGCGGGUGAAAAGCCCGCUCGCCGGAAGACCAAGGGUUCCUGUCCAACGUUAAUCGGGGCAGGGUGAGUCGACCCCUAAGGCGAGGCCGAAAGGCGUAGUCGAUGGGAAACAGGUUAAUAUUCCUGUACUUGGUGUUACUGCGAAGGGGGGACGGAGAAGGCUAUGUUGGCCGGGCGACGGUUGUCCCGGUUUAAGCGUGUAGGCUGGUUUUCCAGGCAAAUCCGGAAAAUCAAGGCUGAGGCGUGAUGACGAGGCACUACGGUGCUGAAGCAACAAAUGCCCUGCUUCCAGGAAAAGCCUCUAAGCAUCAGGUAACAUCAAAUCGUACCCCAAACCGACACAGGUGGUCAGGUAGAGAAUACCAAGGCGCUUGAGAGAACUCGGGUGAAGGAACUAGGCAAAAUGGUGCCGUAACUUCGGGAGAAGGCACGCUGAUAUGUAGGUGAAGUCCCUCGCGGAUGGAGCUGAAAUCAGUCGAAGAUACCAGCUGGCUGCAACUGUUUAUUAAAAACACAGCACUGUGCAAACACGAAAGUGGACGUAUACGGUGUGACGCCUGCCCGGUGCCGGAAGGUUAAUUGAUGGGGUUAGCGCAAGCGAAGCUCUUGAUCGAAGCCCCGGUAAACGGCGGCCGUAACUAUAACGGUCCUAAGGUAGCGAAAUUCCUUGUCGGGUAAGUUCCGACCUGCACGAAUGGCGUAAUGAUGGCCAGGCUGUCUCCACCCGAGACUCAGUGAAAUUGAACUCGCUGUGAAGAUGCAGUGUACCCGCGGCAAGACGGAAAGACCCCGUGAACCUUUACUAUAGCUUGACACUGAACAUUGAGCCUUGAUGUGUAGGAUAGGUGGGAGGCUUUGAAGUGUGGACGCCAGUCUGCAUGGAGCCGACCUUGAAAUACCACCCUUUAAUGUUUGAUGUUCUAACGUUGACCCGUAAUCCGGGUUGCGGACAGUGUCUGGUGGGUAGUUUGACUGGGGCGGUCUCCUCCUAAAGAGUAACGGAGGAGCACGAAGGUUGGCUAAUCCUGGUCGGACAUCAGGAGGUUAGUGCAAUGGCAUAAGCCAGCUUGACUGCGAGCGUGACGGCGCGAGCAGGUGCGAAAGCAGGUCAUAGUGAUCCGGUGGUUCUGAAUGGAAGGGCCAUCGCUCAACGGAUAAAAGGUACUCCGGGGAUAACAGGCUGAUACCGCCCAAGAGUUCAUAUCGACGGCGGUGUUUGGCACCUCGAUGUCGGCUCAUCACAUCCUGGGGCUGAAGUAGGUCCCAAGGGUAUGGCUGUUCGCCAUUUAAAGUGGUACGCGAGCUGGGUUUAGAACGUCGUGAGACAGUUCGGUCCCUAUCUGCCGUGGGCGCUGGAGAACUGAGGGGGGCUGCUCCUAGUACGAGAGGACCGGAGUGGACGCAUCACUGGUGUUCGGGUUGUCAUGCCAAUGGCACUGCCCGGUAGCUAAAUGCGGAAGAGAUAAGUGCUGAAAGCAUCUAAGCACGAAACUUGCCCCGAGAUGAGUUCUCCCUGACUCCUUGAGAGUCCUGAAGGAACGUUGAAGACGACGACGUUGAUAGGCCGGGUGUGUAAGCGCAGCGAUGCGUUGAGCUAACCGGUACUAAUGAACCGUGAGGCUUAACC
rnacentral:rRNA from 1 species